ACUGGAGGCAGCAGUGGGGGAUACUGCACAAUGGAGGAAACUCUGAUGCAGCAACGCCGCGUGAGGGAAGAAGGUCUUCGGAUUGUAAACCUCUGUUUUUAGUGACGAAACAAAUGACGGUAGCUAAAGAGGAAGCCACGGCUAACUUCGUGCCAGCAGCCGCGGUAAUACGUAGGUGGCAAGCGUUGUCCGGAUUUACUGGGUGUAAAGGGUGCGCAGGCGGGACUGCAAGUUGGAUGUGAAAUGCCAAGGCUUAACCUUGGAACUGCAUCCAAAACUGUAGUUCUUGAGUGGAGUAGAGGUAAGCGGAAUUCCGAGUGUAGCGGUGAAAUGCGUAGAUAUUCGGAGGAACACCAGUGGCGAAGGCGGCUUACUGGGCUCUAACUGACGCUGAGGAACGAAAGCAUGGGUAGCAAACAGGAUUAGAUACCCUGGUA
rnacentral:rRNA from 1 species